AUAAAUGCUCUCAGUACCAGGAAGGAUAAAGAAGCCUGUGCACAUCUUUUAGCCAUCACUGCACCAAAAGAUUUGCCGAUGUUUUUAAGUAACAAACUUGAAGGGGAUACAUUCCUUCUCCUCAUUCAGUCUCUGAAAAAUAAUCUUAUUGAAAAAGAUCCCUCAUUGGUGUAUCAGCAUCUUUUAUACCUGAGUAAAGCAGAAAGGUUUAAGUUUACCACUUUUUGAUUUUUUCCCUGCUGUUGCUUCUUUGGACCACUUGGUGGCACUAGAUUUACCUUCAGGCAAGCCACUGGAUGAACCGCCAGCAUGACUUCGGGUGGCACUGCCAUCAUCCACACUACUGCUUCCACUGUUGUGCCUGAAUUUGGAUGGCUUUGACUCAAUAUCUACUUGCACCUCCAUACUGUUGCCUUCUCUGAAAUAUAAGAGUAACAAAUGCAAACAUAA
rnacentral:sRNA from 1 species